rnacentral:misc_RNA from 1 species
UUUCCGUAGGUGAACCAGCGGAGGGAUCAGGACUGAGUGAGGGCUCCGGCCCGACCUCCAACCCCAUGUGAACCGAAACCUGUUGCUUCGGGGGCGACCCUGCCUUCGUGCGAGGCGCCCCCGGAGGCUCAUCAAACACUGCAUCUUUGCGUCGGAGUCUUAAUGAAUUUAAACAAAACUUUUAACAACGGAUCUCUUGGUUCUGGCAUCGAUGAAGAACGCAGC